GUUGAAAAUUUGGUAACUAACAACUUCUCAACCCUUUCCUUGCUUCUUUCUUCUCUUCCAAUUCUAAUUUCUCUUCUUCUCUUUCAUUUUCAGAUUUGGAUCUGUGAGCUUCAUCCAUGGUCAUCCUAGUUCACCUUUAGUUUAAUUUCUGUUAUUUUAGCUCGAUUGUGUUGUUUUUCCAUUUUUCAGUUAAUAAAAAAUUGUCCCAAAAAAUAUUCCUUGUGUUCCGAGUUAUUGGAUUGAGUUUUGUAGUCAGUUCAUAACAAGGUUUCAGUGGUAAAAACCUAAUGGUUGAACACACAAAUUUAAAUUUUAAAUCAGCCUAAGUAAGAAAUACUUUUUUACCUUACUUUUGAAUGAAACAAUUUCUGCUAAAAAAGAGGCAUAUAAACCUCCGACUAGGAGAAACAUCCUGGAGGCUUUCAAGUGGUUAACGACAGACCUUAAAUCAGGUGACUCAUUGGUGCUCUACUUCUCAGGAUAUGGAUUACGACAACCUGAUUUUACUGAUGAUGAACUAGAUGGUUUUGAUGAAAGGAUCUGUCCUCUCGACUUUAGCACUGAAGGCAUGAUCAGUGAUAAUGCCAUCAAUGAUAUUCUUGUUAAACCACUGAUUUCAGGUGUUAUACUUCAUGCCAUUGUUGAGGCUAGUUAUAGUGGAACUGUUCUCGACUUACCAUGGGUAUACAAAGAUUUAAACAAUACAAAUAAGAGAAACUGAUGAUGUACAGAGUCCGUCAAUUACAAAGUACAGAUCCCUAUCCGGCACUUAUAAGGGCACAAGUGGUGUCAGGGCCAUCAGUUUCAGUGCUUGCAAGGAUAAUCAACUAGCUGCAGAUAUCUCUGCUUUGUAUGCUAAAAGAAUUAUGAUUGGUGCCAUGACUUACACAUGUAUAAGAGCUGUCUAGGCAAAUCCGGAUAUAACAUACCGAGGAUUACUUGAUUAUAUGCACAAGGCUAUUGAAAGGGUCAACAAAGUCAGAAUUCCUCUGCCAAAGAUACUUCAACACAAGAUAGACCUGGUAUGUCAUCUCCUUGCCUGAAAUAUUCCCUUCUCAAAAUUAUCUUGCAUCCACUGAUACUACUGUUAUAAGGAUUUAGCAACUUAUAUGACAACUUUAAUGAUUUUUCACACAAACAGUGCAAUUUAACCUACUCGAGAAGGUUACUUACCUUUGAUUAUCUUUUAAGUGACUGGUAAUUUGAAAUAAUUACAUUGUCACUAGGUAAAACUGUUAUGAACCAAGUCAACUUUGUAAGGGGCUAUGGGUUAGAAGUGGUGAAUUAGGCUGAUCCAGCUGAGAUUG